rnacentral:lncRNA from 1 species
GAAUGGAUUGAUUACUGUCCUUUGUGACGAUCUUUUGAUCGAAAAUAUUUAGAAAUUAACCACUAAUUAAUGUAUGUCUCAAAUUUUCAACACUUUGAGAAUAUACAAAAAUCAUCUUUAUUAAUUUUUAAGAUAAAUCAUGGACACAUAAAUAUGAUUGGAAUAAAAAAAAUUAUUGAUAAUAAAAAUAUUAUAAGUACAAGAUUAAAUCUUGAAAUUACAAAAUAUGUCAG